UACGAAGGGGGCUAGCGUUGCUCGGAAUCACUGGGCGUAAAGCGCACGUAGGCGGAUUGCUAAGUCAGGGGUGAAAUCCUGGAGCUCAACUCCAGAACUGCCUUUGAUACUGGCGAUCUUUGAGUCCGGGAGAGGUGAGUGGAACUGCGAGUGUAGAGGUGAAAUUCGUAGAUAUUCGCAAGAACACCAGUGGCGAAGGCGGCUCACUGGCCCGGUACUGACGCUGAGGUGCGACAGCGUGGGGAGCAAACAGG
rnacentral:rRNA from 1 species